rnacentral:tRNA from 1 species
GAGGGUACAGCUCAGUGGUAGAGCGCAUGCCUAACAUGCACAAUAUCCUGGAUUCAAUCCCCAGUACCUCCA